AUCCGGUUGACGAGUCCCAAAUGGGACGAAACGCAUGUCCUGGUU
rfam:Schistosoma mattheei strain Denwood, Zambia genome assembly, scaffold: SMTD_contig0010666